GUACUGUCAGUAGCCUUUUGUUUCUGAUUUCAGCUGUUAAUCCUUAUGUCCAUGAGGUUCAUCUGACAGACCCUCUGGUAGCUAUGAUGCCCACUAGACCCUGUGCCAAAGUGAUUUCCAAGUGGCAGAGAUUAUUCUGGGCUGGCAUCAUCAGAGGAGUGACACAGGAGCUCAGCCUUGAGUACUGAGAAAGGGUCACGUCAUGAUUCAAGAUGGAUAGUGGAAUGCCAGCUGUCUCAGCUGUAGGCUUGUAAAAGGAGAAAAUGCAGAAGUCAAAUAGAGAAAAUUUUAGGAAAUGAGUAUACAGCAAAUAAUUAGUGCUACCUCAAGAGAGUAUUAGGACUAUACUCAGAGAAGCAAGGAAAAAGAAGGCAUGGGAUAUUGGAAACUGUGAAUGUGAUUAAAAGGACAGGACAACUUGAGAAUCUGGAAAGGAGUCUAAUACCUCCAUUCUCAUCCCUGCAUGGAAGAAAAGAAGUCUUUUGGAGAAGGACUCUAACAAUACAUGCCUUAAAGUUACAAGAGGAGAAGCAAUUGGCAUUAGCAGAGAGUUUUCUUGUCUGGUAGAUAUUCUUACUGAACAAUGUGAAGAUCUAUCACCAUCCUCCAAGACAGAGUCAAGAAUAUAUGGUCAUUGCCAUGGUGACAUGAGGAGGCAGCAAGCAUAAUGGUGCUUGGAAUUUGAGGGGAG
rnacentral:lncRNA from 1 species